rnacentral:snoRNA from 1 species
AACCCAUGGUGAGGGCACCUUCUUAAUAGAUCCUUGUAUCUCUCCUAUGCAUCAUAGGGUGUUUCUAAAUCCAUCCGCACAAAAGAAGAAAUAUCAUUCCUUAAUUU